CAUCUAGCUGGAGAGAGAAGGGACAGGUGACCCGAUCCGAGCCCAGCUCGGCCCGGCCGCCCUCGGCGGGAGCGAGAGACAGCGAAGGGAGUCUAGAUCUGGGAGGGCAUCUGGGGAGAUCUCGAAUGGGAUCUGGUGAGAGGCCUGAACCGAGGGAGCUCUGGUACAUGUGGGCUGAAUGGAGAGUGUGUGCUGAGUGGAACCUCUAAGAGGUGUCCACACACGCCGCGGGCCCACCUCCCCCGGGCGCCCUCAGGAAAAGGGAUGGAUGAGGGACUCGCCUGUGGCUCCCUGGACCUGCAGCAACUCCAUCCGGUCUUGCAACUGCCGAACUUGAGCCUCCAGGUCUCGGUUCCGGAUCUGGGCCUCGCGGAGCUGACUGCGGGGAGGAAAGGAACGUGAGCCCUUCGGCAUUUCGGCAAGAGAGGCUGCUAAAGGUAGUGACUGUCCCCGCGUCCUGACCCCGACCUGGCGAAGUUCUGGUUGGCCAUGCGGAUGGCCUCCAGCUCCUGGCUCAGGCUCUGCCGGGCAAGCACCUCCUCCUCCAGGGCUUCCUGGAGCUCCCUCAGUGUCACCUCUGCCUCUGCCACGGCCUCCUCUGGCACCGCCUCGGGAAAGGCCUCCACCACCGCCUCCGGAACGGCCUCCAGAACUGCCUCCAGAACUGCCGCUUCAGCCUGGGUAUGGGAACCAGUCUUCGGGCAGCCUGGCUCCUGUAACACCCGAGACUUGGGCAUAGGUUCCAGGCCUAGAAUCCUCCCUUGACCUCUACUUGCCUACCCCUUAGAUCUUCCUGGAAUCCCCACAACUUCUGCAGGGAUCCAAGCCCCCUACAUCCCUAAUCCCAGCCCCAGCCCUCAUCUCUAGCCUUUCAUCUGAUCCCCUCCGAUCAACUUUCCACACUGGAACCAAAGAGUUGAUCUUACAACACUAACUCAACUUGACUAUGCCCUCCCCUGCUCAGAAUUUCUCCAGCCCUUCAGUGCCCUCAGGAGAAGGCCCACCACACCUUGGUGUUUGGUGUCUUUCUGCUGGCCUCUUCAGCCUCCCCUCCCCUCACUCCUCACCCUCCUUUCUCCUGGAACAAUUUGGCCUUACUACCCUUCUUUCACAUUUAAGAGCAAACCAGCUGGUUCCCACCUCAGAGCUCUUACCCUUGAAACUCUGCUGACCAAUGGGUGCUUUUCUUCCCACGGGUGGCCCUUCUCCUUCCCCAGGGCUUCCCCUCCACAGAGAGUCCCCCGCCACGCACACUCAAUGAUCUGUGUUAAUUUCAUGGUAGGGAUCAUUUCUGACUGAAGUUACUUGCCUCUAGUUUGUUUUCCAUCUCUGUCAAGUAAGCUCCAGAGGACUUAGCACAAUACAGCACACACUAUCUCCAAAGACCUUCCCUUUCCUCUCAGAUUCGUUUCUCACUGACCCUCUCCUCUAAAGACUUACUGUGUCCUCUGGUGGGGGCACCGUGGGUUCCAGGCUGGGCUCUUGCACAGGUGGCUCAGGCAAUGGCUCGGCCUCCAGUUCCAUGGGCAUAAAGCCCGGGAUCUCAUCGUCCCUGGGGAGAGGAAGAGGGCAAGGGGAGGAAGAGCUGGCCUCACCCUAGAGGCUGCUGAGCCCCUGGGUUGGGAGCCAGGACUCCUGAGCCGGGGGUUGGGGGGGCAGGGCAGACUUGAAGCCCCCACAUUUGAGAAGGGGGAGGGACAGAGUGAAGGGAACAAAUUGCCAGGCUGGUGGGACAGGUCUGCCUCUUGUUAGGGAAAAACCUGCCCUUCACAUGGCCUCGGGCCCUUGGGAGCUGGCCUCCCUGCACCUUCUUUGGGACCCUGGGGUCCAGACACCCAUGUUCUAGGAUCUGUUCAUCUCCUCUGUCUCCAUGUGGCUUUUGUAGACCUUAGGGCCCCAGGAAGCAAGGGGAACCCUGCCCAGCUCUGGCCACCUCCAAAGAGGUGGUCUUAAGACUGGAUGUGGGAUCCCAAGACUGUACUCCAGACAGCAGACCUCCCCCUCAGACCCAGACCCUCCUGAGGAAAAUGAAAUUGCAGUGAAAGUGAUGUCCUGUCCAAUCCAGCAGUCCCUCUUGUAGAAAUACAUUUCAAGGACCCAGUGAUCAUGGACACACGCCAAGACCAACCUGCAGCUGUUCUUCCAGCCUGAGUCAUGACAGGAUGGUUCACUGAGUCCUGAACCACCCAGACAGGGGGACACUUCCCAGCAGGUCAGGACUGUGUCGUAGUUCGUUCAUGGUAAGAAAUGGCAUUGGCAGUACACUGUCCAGUAACAAAAUGGAUGAGAACAGAGCAUGUUCUCCCAUCUGGUAAGUGAGUGUGCGUGCGGGAGCCAGGGGCUGUUGCUGAUGGUGGCCUUCCUUUUUCUCAUCCAUAUUUUCUAACAGACUUGUGAUAAGCAAUGUAUUAUUUGUAUAAUUAAUGUUUCAAAAAGGCUUUGUGGUUAUGUGAGUAAUUCAAUGAGUUUUUGUUCUUUUAAGAUUGACUUAAAAGGUAUAAACUUAUUUUCUAA